ACAAACUAGGGAAUGCAAAACAUGGACACCUCACCUGGGGAAGAUGAACUGCAAGGGGACCAAUCAUCAGCUCAACCGGGGAUAAUAGGUUGCUUAGGGAUCAACUCAUUAACCAUGAUGGGAAUGAACGACGAGCCGUUAGGGAGGAGAAAGUUACCAAACUAACUGCUUGGAGAGGACAACAAUGCUUCACACUUCCAG
rnacentral:lncRNA from 1 species